GAAUAUUGGGCAAUGGGGGGAACCCUGAUCCAGCCAUGCCGCGAGUGUGAAGACGGCCUUUUGGUUGUAAAGCACUUUAAGCGAGGAGGAGGCUACUCUAGUUCAUACCUAGAGAUAGUGGACGUUACUCGCAGAAUAAGCACAGGCUAACUUUGUGCCAGCAGCCGCGGUAAUACAGAGGGUGCAAGCUUUAAUCGGAUUUACUGGGCGUAAAGCGCGCGUAGGUGGCCAAUUAAGUCAAAUGUGAAAUCCCCGAGCUUAACUUGGGAAUUGCAUUCGAUACUGGUUGGCUAGAGUAUGGGAGAGGAUGGUAGAAUUCCGGGUGUAGCGGUGAAAUGCGUAGAGAUCUGGAGGAAUACCGAUGGCGAAGGCAGCCAUCUGGCCUAAUACUGACACUGAGGUGCGAAAGCAUGGGGAGCAAAC
rnacentral:rRNA from 1 species